rnacentral:rRNA from 1 species
UACGUAGGUGGCAAGCGUUGUCCGGAUUUACUGGGCGUAAAGGGCGUGCAGGCGGUCUGUUUAGUCUAGGGUGAAAGCUCCCGGCUCAACUGGGAGAGGUCCUUGGAUACUGGCAGACUUGAGGGAGGUAGAGGAGAGUGGAAUUCCCGGUGUAGUGGUGAUAUGCGUAGAUAUCGAGAGGAACACCUGUGGCGAAGGCGGGUCUCUGGACAGUUCCUGACGCUGAGGCACGAAAGCCAGGGGAGCAAACGGG